rnacentral:rRNA from 1 species
GAUGAACGCUAGCGGCAGGCCUAAUACAUGCAAGUCGAACGGGCCAGCAAUGGUCAGUGGCGCACGGGUGCGUAACGCGUAUGCAACCUACCUUCUACUGGGGGAUAGCCUUCCGAAAGGAAGAUUAAUACCGCAUAACAUCACAUGAGGGCAUCUGAGUGUGAUCAAAGAUUUAUUGGUAGAAGAUGGGCAUGCGUGACAUUAGCUAGUUGGUGCAGGUAACGGCUCACCAAGGCUACGAUGUCUAGGGGUUCUGAGAGGAUGAUCCCCCACACUGGUACUGAGAUACGGACCAGACUCCUACGGGAGGCAGCAGUAGGGAAUAUUGGGCAAUGGACGGAAGUCUGACCCAGCCAUGCCGCGUGCAGGAUGAAGGCCUUCUGGGUUGUAAACUGCUUUUAUCUAGGAAGAAAACGCCCAUGCGUGGGAAACUGACGGUACUAGAUGAAUAAGCACCGGCUAACUCCGUGC